CCGCGCCCGGCCGACACCCUGUUUCUUAAAAGUAAAGUAAUUAAUUAAAUUCAUUAAAAAUAAAAACAAAUUCAUAGCAGAGCUGGAAAUUGAGGUUAAAAAGAGAAUUUAAAAAAUAAAUGCGUUUUCCUAGAACAGUAUAAAUUUUCAGUUAUAAAGGGAUUUUGAUAACUUGAGUAAUUCAUUUUCCCUGCCCCAGAUUUUCUUAAUGAUCCAGACCACCUGACUUUAGAUUAAAUUAAGCUUGCUGAGAUCCUUUUGUGGAUCAUAAGCCUGAUGAUUGGGUUUUCACACUGUGUGAGACAGGCCUCUCUCAAACCUUGUUGCAUUGUGCACACAUUACCUGUCUGACAUGGGGGAAGAAAUUCAGCUUGAUGAGAUACCAAAAUGUGAGGUGUAUUCUCUUGACAGAGAGAAACUUAUGCUAAAAACAUUUCUGCAUUUUUGGUGACUUAUUUAAAUAUGGAACUGUUAUCCACCCUUUUACAGCUGGCUUUAGAGUAGAAGGUCUCAAGUAGCAUGCGUUAUUUCCUAUGGGAGUAGCCUUGGAAGGAACUAAAGGGAAAAAAGUCUACUUUUCUUUGGGUAGAGGCUCAGAUCAUCCAUUAGUCUACUCUCUUAUCACUUCUUCCUUUUCAAAAUAAACUUGUUUGAGCACCUGAAAUGUGGUAAAGAAAAAUAAAUAAAUAAACUUGUAAUACUUAAGAGUCAACAAUAACAUUUUAAAUAGUCAAAACAUCUAACUUGGGGCACCAAUGAAGAAAUUAUAACUGCUAAAAAUGUGAGUAGUGGCCAGGCACGGUGGCUUACGCCUGUAUUCCCAGCACUUUGGAAGGCAGAGGUGGGCAGAUCACGAGGUCAGGAGUUCGAGACCAGCCUGGCCAAUAUGGUGAAACCACAUCUCUAGUAAAAAUACAAAAAUUAGCCAGGUGUGGUGGCGGGUGCCUGUAAUCCCAGCUACCUGGGAGGCUGAGGCGGGAGAAUCGCCUGAACCUGGGAGGUGGAGAUUGCAGAGAGUCAAGAUUCCAGCCUGGGUAACAGAGAGAGACUCCAUCUC
rnacentral:lncRNA from 1 species